CCUACAAAUUGUGUAGUUUGCCGUGCAAACCGCGUGACAACAGUUCCUUUUCAGUCACCACGCGCGAGGUUCAAUUAAGUCCAAAUGUGGCUAACGUGACAGUGUGCGAGACAGACGAAAUUUUUACUACAAAGUUUUCGAGUCUUCAUGUAUCUGUCGGACAUGUCGUGCGAGAAGAAUAGCAAUACAGAGGUGCGUGUGUCCGGGGAUCAGUCUCCCCAGGAAAGACCACAUUGUCUAUGAGUUGGCAAUAAGGCGCCAACAGAUUGAGGGAAGUGUUCCGGAACUGGUGGUCCAUUUGCGGACUGCCGUGCUGCCGCCGGUUGACGUCACGUCGGCGGUGGGCGGUGAGACAGGAGCGGCGAUGAAAUAUCUGUAUGAGGCUGUUACGGGCCUUGAGGACACUAUUUGUCUACUAGAGGGAACCCAACCUAGUGACAUUCAGCUGGAUCGGGUGCGAGCACAGUUGAUGCAUUUAACUAAUCGGGUAGCCGAUGUAAUUGUUAAAUUUGGGGACCAUCACAAGAAAAUUUGACCCUUGAAUUGGGGAACCAGAAACGAUGCUGAUGAGCUGAGAAGCCGAAGUGCAGCCCUCGGGAUAUGGUGCGAUCCCUGGCGCGAGCAACAGGCAUUUGUUUGUAUCAAGCAACCAGCUGGUGUGGCGGAGGAGCUGCAACAGAACAGAUGCCAGGACUCGCCGACCGUAUGAUGUGCGCUCCUUACCAGUGAAAUAAGAGCUGUAGCAAAUGAAAUUUACAAGUGGAAGAAUGUUGAGGUGUGUCGAAAGUUCAAGAACUUUACUGCAAUUUGUGAACGGUUGAGCCAAAAACACCUUGGACUUGUAAACAAUCAGUACAAUAAUUUAGAUACCACAAAGCAAAACAAUUACAUAUGAAAUUGUUUCAUGUAACUGUUCCUUUGGAUAAAAUUGUAAAUAUUCAGCAAAACUGUUUAAGUUAAACAAAUUAAACUGGAUGGGAAUUUCGUCCCUC